UGUUAAAAUGUGGAAAGACCCCAAUUUUGGAGAAAGUCUCAAAAAAUAAGAGUAGAAGCAUAUAUGUGUGACUAUCAUUUAUUGUAUCCUUCAUUUUCCAGCAUCACCUUGGGAAACUCGAAGAAUUCAAGGUGAACUACUGGAGGCGCGGGCCCAAAUUGCAGGGUUGGAGAAAAGGCUGAGUCAAGUUCAUACAAUUAAACGAGAGACUGAAAUUAUGAUGGAAGCUGAGAAAAAUGAUAUUACUCAAGCCUUGUGCAGAGAGCGGAAAAAUGUAACAGAACUUGAAAAACGCCUGGCCACAAUUCGAAAACGUGAAGCUGAAGUCCGUGAGGAAUUAGCUCAGAUGAAAACUUCUCUUGGCAAAAGGUCGCUAAUUUGGAAGAAAAAUGUCAACUUUUGGUCAUAGAGAAUACACAAUUCCGGGACCAAGUGAAUGAGUUGAAAUCGAAAGUUUUGGAAAGAGGUGGCGAGUCAGGACGCAGGAUGAAUGAACUGGAGAGUGAGCUGUCAAUCUUCAAAGAAGAAGCAGAGCGGUACAAACAAUUGACUGAGGAGUUGAGUGCAGACCUCAAAGAGAAGAGGAAAGAACUUAGGCAAUGGGAAAUGGAUAAAACCAAACUUCUUGUGGCACAACAAAGAAUUAAGGAUAUGGAAUAUGAGAAAGAGUCAUACCAAGAGGCAGCUGCAUUGGCAAAGUCUCAGCAUACCAAAUUGCUAAAAAUUCCUCAGCUGGAAAAAGAAAUUGCAUCUCUGCAGCAUGAAAAUAGGCAACUUAGGGACACCAUUGGCAACAAAUUAUAUUUUGAAAAUUUAGUGGAAAGCUUACAAGAGAAAGUGAAAUUAACAGACUCUUAUGAAAAAGAGCUAAUUCAUCUAAGAGCUGAAAACAAACACAUAAGUCUACAAUUAGAUGAGUGGAAAGUCUGGGAAAAUGCUUUAAUCUGAAGGACAUGGCAGAUGUGUGCAGCCCACUCUCCUUACGGCGGUCACUCCAACAAUUGAUGCAGCAGGAGGUUGUAUUAACAUCGGAGAAGGCACAACUCAAAAUGAGGUAAUAAUCAAAGCAUACUAUUUAUAACUAUGGUAAUUUAAUGGGUCGAUUAUUUCUAAGGACAAGUAAGUAUUUAUGCAACCUAACCACAA
rnacentral:lncRNA from 1 species